GCUACUGAGAAGACCAGACAGAGCAGAUGCAGGAAGACAGGGGUAAUGUCUCCAGAGCAGAGGAAAGCACGAGUGAUCUGACCUCUCCUGUGAGCUGCCGUCAAUACGGAAGACACAAGUACACUGAGCAUCUUAAAGCUUAGAAAGAAGACAAAAGCAAGUUAGAAUAAAAAAAAAAUCUCAUCUGAAGAAGCUCUGCUGCCGGACGUCUCAGCCUUCACUAUGGGCAACAACAGGUUCAGAAGAACAGCAAUGUAGAAAUGGAGGCCUGCACACCUCCAGAUUAGGACUGCAAUCUAACCAUGUUGCGGAUAACAUCCAACCUCACUUGGUAUCCUCACAGGGAACUCUUCAGUAAGGAGAAUGAGGCUCAGAGAGAUGAGAUGCCUCAGAACUGGGCAGCGACCCAAGCCUGACUUCUUGAAUUCAUGAGAUGGCACAGGCAUCAUUGUUAUCCCCAGACAUUACAGAGUCAGAGUGUGUAAAUGGUGGCACUGCUGUGUGCUGGGCCUGUGAUGACCUCAUUGGAAUUCUUCUUUCAAACACCUCUUGCCUCAACUUUGGACUGUGAUUCAUGGUGGGAACUUAAUUUCUAGAUGUUUGUGUUUAAUUAAUAGGUUACCUGUGUAAAAACUACUAUCAUUGGUCACUGACAGUGCUAGCCCAUAGCUAUAUAUCCAGGUCCCUCUUGGCCUCUCGGACAUGUAUAGUUCUUUGAGGAUACAGGGCUGUUCCUUGGAUAGUAGCAAGCCUAAAGUGUGGAAGUUUCAAGUGCUAUGCCUAUGAAGCACGAGGAAGAGCUCUAGGAUGAUGGGAAUAGGACCGACAUGCAGGGUGGAAUCCUGUCCCAUGUACACAAUGGGCUCUGAUGAGAUGCAGAGCCAAAAUGGAUCCACUGCAUGUGCGCCAGGACAUGGGUCACCUGGUGACACCACACUGCCUUGCUAAAAGGCCCUCCUGCCUUUGUCAUGUGUUCUCAAAACCACCUCUGGUCUUUAGAAAAGGCCAACAAUAUGGGUGACCUGAUCAGUACAUGGUCAGGAUAUACACCCUUAACCAGUACAGACUCAAAUCCUUGACAGAUACCUGAAAGACACAGCUGACUGGUUCUGCCAGCUACUCUGGAAUUCUGGACAAGCUGUUUUCUAGAACUGAAGUGAUGAAAGCUUGGGCUAUAACAUAAUUCUGCCUUUGAUUUUCGAGUUAAUGCGUUCUUAUGUAAAGGCAGUCAGUUCUGUUUGGCUGCCUGAGAUGCUGGAGUUUUCUGAGAAUCCAUGAGUGAGGCCUGCCUGGUGCUACACAUACCCCAGUAUCAACAUUCAUAUGAGUGAAAACAAUCUGACUCAGAGCUCUAGAAUGUCCCCUAACCUGGGGAGGACUAGAAGGACCCAGAGGAAGAACCCCAUGGACCCUCUAGUUACCCCAUAGUCCUCAUUAUAAUCAGUUCUAGUUACUUUAGCCCUGAGGAAGAGAAAAAAAAGUCCCUAGAAUCAUAGCUGAAAAUGGCAACCAUCAAAGCAAUAGUAGGUUCAUCUUCCUUGCCGAAGUUACUCUGGUAUGUGCUCAAUGGAAACUGCAAUGCACUUUUCAAUUUUAAAGUUGGGCAUCACCCAUCAUGUGCACAAGCAGCCUGGACCACUUCAUACUCACAUACCCACAGCCUGGACCACUUCACACUCACAUACCCACAGCCUGGACCACUUCACACUCACAUACCCACUGCCUGGACCACUUCACACUCACAUACCCACAGCCUGGACCACUUCACACUCACAUACCCACUGCCUGGACCACUGCCUGGACCACUUCACACUCACAU